UGACAGUGUUUAGCAUUCGAUACAAUCGUGUAAAAAAGUGUUAUUAAAAAUCAAUAUUGAUAAACGGAUGAAAUAACAAAAACUGGAAUUAAAAAACUUUCGUUAUUAUUAUAAAAACCGGAUUUAAAUUGUCAUCGAGUGUGUUGCCGACUUACCGACGAGAAGGAGUAGAGGUGCGAAAGAGCGAAGCAAGUGGGAUUUAAUAUCAAGCAUACCUUCAGUACUUACCGUUGGUUAUUCAACAACAAAAGAAAAUGGUGUGCUCAGCAACCUCAUUUCUGCUCCUUGUGAUGUUCUGUGGAACGGUGUCCUGUAUUUUUUCCCCGACUGUCAAACCCAAUUGUUACGGCGUAACGUGCCCUUCUAUCUACUGCACUUAUGGACAAUACAAACCGCCGGGAAAAUGCUGUCCGAAGUGCAAACAAGCUCCCAACAGCAACAAACCUUUACCAUGCAAAAUAGACGCUGACUGUGCGGCCGUUGUGUGCGACAAUGAAGGCGAGGAAGUUGAGUGCCACGAUGCCGUUCCCCCCCAAAAGGGACGCGAGUGUCAUUGUCACAUACCGGGAGAGUGCUUGACGGACAGCGACUGCAUUGAAGAGUGCGGUCACAAAGCCACUUGUGACGACGGGGCAUGUCAUGGCAAAAAAUGCGAUCACACGUAAACAAGCGCUUUCAAGCAGCCACACUGUAUUUAUUUUAAUUAAGAGACAUUCAUGUGGAUACACUUAUUAUUUACUUUCUUUGAAAAUACCAUGCAAUUAAAGCAAUACCAAGCACUUAAACAUGAAUUUAAACUUGAGUAUGUGUGUGCAAUAAAUCAAGAAACAAAAAUUAAA